rnacentral:misc_RNA from 1 species
AGUCGUAACAAGGUUUCCGUAGGUGAACCUGCGGAAGGAUCAUUACAGAAUGAAAAGUGCUUAACUGCAUUUUUUCUUACACAUGUGUUUUUCUUUUUUUGAAAACUUUGCUUUGGUAGGCCUUCUAUAUGGGGCCUGCCAGAGAUUAAACUCAACCAAAUUUUAUUUAAUGUCAACCGAUUAUUUAAUAGUCAAAACUUUCAACAACGGAUCUCUUGGUUCUCGCAUCGAUGAAGAACGCAGCGAAAUGCGAUAAGUAAUAUGAAUUGCAGAUAUUCGUGAAUCAUCGAAUCUUUGAACGCACAUUGCGCCCUUUGGUAUUCCAAAGGGCAUGCCUGUUUGAGCGUCAUUUCUCCCUCAAACCCUCGGGUUUGGUGUUGAGCGAUACGCUGGGUUUGCUUGAAAGAAAGGCGGAGUAUAAACUAAUGGAUAGGUUUUUUCCACUCAUUGGUACAAACUCCAAAACUUCUUCCAAAUUCGACCUCAAAUCAGGUAGGACUACCCGCUGAACUUAAGCAUAUCAAUAAGCG